rnacentral:rRNA from 1 species
UACGUAGGUGGCAAGCGUUGUCCGGAUUUACUGGGCGUAAAGAGCGCGCAGGCGGUGCGAUCAGUCGAAUGUGAAAGCCCCCGGCUCAACUGGGGAGGGUCAUUCGAUACUGUCGGACUCGAAGGCAGGAGAGGGAAGCGGAAUUCCCGGUGUAGUGGUGAAAUGCGUAGAUAUCGGGAGGAACACCAGUGGCGAAGGCGACUACCUGGCCUGUUCUUGACGCCGAGGCGCGAAAGCUAGGGGAGCAAACGGG